rnacentral:tRNA from 1 species
UCCGGCGUGGUCUAGUGGCUAGAAUAUCUGGCUUUCACCCAGAAGGCCCGGGUUCGAUUCCCGGCGUCGGUAA